CAAACAAGAAUGUGUCCUUAGUACACGAAUGCCCCACUCGCACUUUCAUUUUCUAUGUUCAGUGGACCGUGACAUUGGGAUAAAAACUCUAAUUUGGCAUUAAAAUUAGAAAGAUCAUAUCAUAGGGAACAUGUGUACUAAGUUUGAAGUUGAUUGGACUUCAACUUCAUCAAAAACUACCUUGACCAAAAACUUUAACCUGAAGCGGGACAGACGGACGGAUGAACGGACGGACGCACAGACCAGAAAACAUAAUGCCCCUCUACUA
rnacentral:lncRNA from 1 species